GGGGAUAUAACUCAGUGGUGGAGCACUUGCCUAGCAUGUAUGAGGCCCUAGGUUCACUUCCUAGCUCCUCA
rnacentral:tRNA from 1 species